rnacentral:rRNA from 1 species
AUGCCUCCGUCGAUGCCGAAGCGGCGGCGCGGCGUUGCCGCCUCACCCCGCUGCCGGAAGAAGCAGAAACGCCUCGACGCCAUCUGCGACGUCGCGCCGACGCCUCCCCCGGGGGGCGGCGGCGGCGGCGGCGGCGGCGGCGAGGAUUCCGACCCGGAGUCCGUCCGCCGGAGCACACGGUCACGCCGCGCGCCGGUCACGCUCGACACCUCGCCAGCCCCCUCGCCCCGCCGCAUGAGGCCCCGCCGCGGCGGGGGCGUGGCCGGGCCCAGUGGGAGCCCGCGGACGGGAGGCAAGGGUAGGGCACGGGGCCAGGCGGUUGCCCGAGCAGUGGACGGCGAGGAGGAUGAGGAGGAUGGCGGGGGAAAUGCGGCGUGGCGCUCGCGGCUGCGGGAUAGGGCAAAGGGGAAGGCCGGGGCGGGGAGGCGAGUGAGGACCCUGUGGUUCCAAGAUGAAGACGAAGAUGAAGAGGGGAUUAAGGAAGAGGGGGGCGAGGAGAGCGGAGGUUUGUCAUCGCGUGGGAGGGAAAUCAGAGAGGGCGAGAUCAAUUUAACCAUCGAUGUUAGUGUACAAACUCACGAGGCUGUUGAGGGUGUCACUGUAGUAGAAGAGGAAGGUGAGGAAAAAGGAGCAGGGGAGGAAGGUGAUGAGUGUGACGAGGAGGAAGAAGCAAUUGGUGUGGGAACUGAUCUAGACGAAGGCAACAUGGAGGAAGUGGGGGAGGAUGAUAGUUUGCAGGGUGAAGAGAAACCUGAACAGUUGGAUUUACCUGUACUAGAAGGAGAAAAUGGUGAUGAGAAUACUGAUGAGGUUGAGUUCGGCGAUUUAGGGGAGAAUGAGCAGCUCGAUGUGCACCAUGGGCAGAUUGCAGAAGUGAGCAACCUUCCUGAUGAGCAGCCAAUGGAACUUGAUGGUCCUGAUGAGCAAGUGGAAGAGGUCCAGCAGGAUGAACAGAUGGAUGAUGCCCCAAAUAUAGCGUUGCCUGAGGAGGCUCUGAACGAGAGAGUCGGAAAAUCUCUAAUUUCAGAUGAAAAACGAGGAGUUGUAGAUGUUAAAGAAGGAAGGAGGUGUGGGCUAUGUGGAGGAGGGACUGAUGGGAGACCACCCAAGGUUGCACUGCAUGAUACUGCUGACAGCGAGAAUGAAGCCUAUGAGGGUGCCAUGCCUUCAGAGGAGCCCAACUAUGAUAUAUGGGAUGGGUUCAGUGACGAUCCUGGAUGGCUCGGAAGGUUACUGGGUCCAAUACAUGAUAGAUUUGGGAUUGCCCGUGUCUGGGUUCAUCAGAAUUGUGCAGUUUGGAGUCCCGAGGUUUACUUUGCUGGUCUGGGGUGCCUAAAAAAUGUAAGGGCAGCACUUUGCCGUGGAAGGCUUUUGAAGUGCAGUCGGUGUGGCAGACCUGGAGCAACUAUUGGGUGCCGUGUCGACCGGUGUCCAAAAACCUACCAUUUGCCUUGUAGUCGAACAGAAGCCUGCAUAUUUGAUCACCGGAAGUUUCUUAUAACUUGCAAUGAUCAUCGACAUCUCUUCCAACCUCAAGGCGAUAAAUAUGCUGAACUGCUCAGGAAGAUGAAGAUAAAGAAGAUGAAGGCCAAUAUCAGAAAGUUGUCACAUGAUGCGUGGAGAAAGGAUAUAGAGGCUGAAGAGAAAUGGUUAGAGAACUGUGGGGAAGAUGAAGAGUUCUUGAAACGUGAGGGGAAGAGGCUAAACAGAGAUCUUUUGAGGAUUGCACCUGUUUACAUAGGAGGUUCUUCUGAAAAUGACAAGGCGUACGGUGGAUGGGAAUCUGUUGCUGGGCUUAGUGAUGUUAUUCAGAGCAUGAAAGAAGUGGUGAUACUGCCUCUUCUAUAUCCUGAAUUCUUUAGCUCUUUAGGUCUUACACCACCAAGAGGUGUUCUGCUGCAUGGUCAUCCUGGUACUGGUAAAACACUUGUCGUACGGGCACUAAUAGGGGCAUGCUCUCAGGGUAACAGAAGGAUUGCUUAUUUUGCUCGAAAAGGUGCUGAUUGUUUGGGCAAGUAUGUUGGGGAUGCUGAGAGGCAGUUAAGACUUCUAUUCCAGGUAGCUGAAAAAUGCCAACCUUCUAUCAUAUUUUUUGAUGAGAUGGAUGGUUUAGCACCUUGUAGAUCCAGACAACAAGACCAGACGCACAAUUCAGUUGUAGCGACUUUGCUCUCGUUACUUGAUGGCUUGAAAUCGCGUGGCUCAGUUAUAGUUAUAGGGGCUACGAAUCGUCCUGAUGCUAUAGACCCUGCUCUUAGGAGACCAGGAAGGUUUGAUCGUGAGAUAUACUUUCCGCUCCCCACCCUAGAGGCCAGGUCUGCCAUUCUUUCGUUACACACAAAAAACUGGCCUAGUCCUAUUUCAGGCACAUUCCUCUCAGCUGUUGCAAGCCAAACUAUUGGAUACGCUGGUGCUGAUUUGCAGGCAAUUUGUACCCAAGCUGCAUUAAAUGCUCUGAAAAGGACUUGCCCAUUGCAAGAUAUCUUACGCUUCGCUGAGAAAGGAACUGAACAUGGACGACUUCCUCUACCAUCAAUCACCGUGGAGGAAAGGGAUUGGUUGUCUGCUCUUGCAGCAGCACCCCCACCCUGUUCACAAAGGGAAGCAGGGAUUGCUGCAAAUGAUCUAGUUUCCGCUCCUAUUGAUUCCUAUCUUUUACCAUGCCUUCUUAAACCAUUACUUCACCUCCUUAUUUCCCUCUGUUUGGAUGAACGGAUCUGGUUACCUUCGUCUCUUCUGAAGGCAUCUUCCUCUAUAAAGGCAGUGGUGUUUUCGUCUAUGGAAAAGAACAACGUACCUCACACUUUCUGGUCUUCCUAUCUUCCCUCUUUGAUACAGCAGAAAGAUGUUGGAAAUAAAAUUGUAUCAAUCUUGUCAAGCUAUGGUCUUACAGCAUCUCAACUAGGAAAUCAUGGUUCAAUGUUGUUAAGUCAAAACAAACAACAUGAGAAGUUUGAUGACCGCAAGUUGAGUUCCACCUGUUCUCUGAACAAAGGAGGGUUAGCAUAUAAGUUAGCAGGUUUUCGAGCUUUAGUUGCUGGGGCACCCAGAUCAGGCCAACAACAUCUAGUCCAUUGCCUUCUUCAUGGUUUUGUGGGUCAGACUGUAAUACACAAGCUUGAUCUUGCAACUAUGGCACAGGAGGGAAAUGGUGACAUCCUUAAUGGAUUGACACAAAUUCUGUUGAAAGGUCUACACCUUGGAAGGUGCAUAAUCUACAUGCCUAGAAUUGAUUUGUGGGCAGUCAACACGGUCCAUGAACAGGAAACAGAAGAUCAUGGGCGCAACAUGGGUACAAGCAAGUUGGCCUCCUCGCCAGUUGAAAGCAUGCCAAAAUGUUCAGAAGUUUGGAAUACUUUGGUUGAUCAGAUGGGUUCAUUAUCAGCAUCUGUAUCCAUAAGUGUUCUGGCCACUAGUGAGCUGAAGUUCCAAGAUCUUCCAUGCGGAGUCAAGCAUUUCUUCAGCACACAUGUUGUAGAUCAAUGUCUUAGUUCUUCAGAACACACUGUACCAAGAUUCUCUGUGAAUGUUGACAGCUCUAUUAGCUGGGAUGAGGUGCUCAAUUCAUGCGCUUUGCGGUUAUCACAUGACUUAAUUCAGCAUCAUGUUCAGUUAUUGCAUGGCAGGGCUCAUAACAAUCAUGAUGAACAGAAAGAAGUCUUUGUGCCCAUGGAAAUUAGUGCACCAGAUGAAUCUAAAUCCUGUGAGAACCAGGAAUCCAUCAUAUUGGCGAAGUCUUCUUUGUAUGUUGACAAACGGCCCUCAUAUCCUACAAAACUGGCCACGUGCAGUGCUCAGCUACAGCCAUCAGCAUCUGAUGUGAAAGAUAAAGAGGAAGAUCCUGAGAAACUUGAUUUUCACGAGAGUGUCUCAAGAAAUCCUUCUAGCAGAACUAUGAAGGGCAAUGAAUCACUUUCUAUUAUUGCCUUCGGAAUUCAGAUACUGCAGCACCCACAGUUCUCUAAACUCUGUUGGGUUACCUCAAAACUGCGGGAAGGCCCCUGCACUGAUAUAAAUGGACCAUGGAAAGGCUGGCCGUUUAACUCCUGUUUAUUACAUAGCAGCACCUCAUCCGUUAAAUCAUUGUCUGAAGGACACAGUGUUGUUAAGGGCAAGGAGAAGUCCCUUUGUGUGAGAGGAUUGGUUGCUGUUGGUUUAUUAGCAUAUAGAGGUGUCUAUGCAUCUGUUAUGGAAGUCUGUGCUGAGGUGAGAAAGGUUUUGGAACUGUUAGUUGAGCAGAUCCGAAUUAAAAUUUUGGAAAAGAAAAGUCGAUAUCGGUACUUCCAUAUUCUAUCUCAAGUAGCAUAUCUGGAUGACAUCGUGAACAGCUGGGCGUACACCUUCCAAAGAUUACAUCCUGACACUAGGACAAGAGCAUUAGGUACAGAGACAGCAAGUCUAGGAAAGUCAUGCACAAGAGAGUGUGAAAGUACCAGUUACGCUACAGAAAGCAAUGUACUGGCUGGUCCUGUUGGCGGCUUUCCCCACGUCCAAGACAAUUCAGCCCAACAGUCACACGACCAUCUGGUUGGCCCUGCUUCCUGUCCUAGUGAGAUGCAUGAUAAGCCAGUUCAACAAGGUCCUGACCAACUUGAAAUUCAUAGUGUGGUCUGCAACAUUGGUAAUGAUCAUUUGACAUCUAUAUCCAGGAUGGAUGCAGUGGAACAUGAUCUUCUCUGUUCAGCUUCGCCUGAUGCGCACAAAGGUGCUCUUACAUCUGCAGAUCCAGUCAUAAAUGAUGGAGGAUCUGGUGAAGUAAACAACGGCUGGAAAAUGUCCAGAGUAACCAAUGGUAAAGAAAAAUGCAAGCCAGAUAUUCAAAGAUCUGAAAGCCUCUCUAAAUCUGUUGAAGAUUUCAAUAAUAUGCAAAGGGCAGAAAAUUUAAGUGCAUGCCCAGCUACUAUGGACAGUGUAGAAGUAUCAAAGAAGACGAUGUCUUCUGAAUCUCAUGGCAGUGGUAAUGAGCUGAAUACCAGCUUUCCUCUUAAUGAUGUUGGGUCAGGUCAUUCGAUUAAUGGUCAAAUGCAAGAUAGAAGAAAUAAUCUCUCAGUUCCAAAAUCUUCAUGUCUAUAUGAAUGUUGCUCCUCAUGCUUCCGUGCUGUUUAUAAGGUGUCUCAUGAUAUUCUUUCAAAUUCAGUACGAUCUAAUAAGCAUUGCUUAACCGUUGAUGAUAUGCAUGACAUUCUCUCAUCUUGCUCACUGAAUCUACUAGCAACAGUUAGAAAAUGGCACAGCUCUCAAGGUGUAGUUGGUUGUCAAGAAGAGAUUGGAAAAAAGCGUUAUCUGGAAAUCAUCUCAGAGCAUUGUGUUUGUCAGGGUGAUGUUAGUUCUGUUUCAAGGGAUUGUGCAUGUCACUUGGAAAGCAGUGCAGAGGCCGAAGCCAGUAAUAAGGAGAGGCAUUCUUUAUGUGGACAAUCAUUAAGUUUUUUCUUCAAGGAUGGUGUUUUGAUGCCACAAGAUCUCACUGCAGGGACCACACUUCAUUGCAGCUUUAAAAGACUAUGUGUUUGCUCACUACCUGGAACGAUUUCUAUGCUCGUUCAGAUCCCCAGUUGA